rnacentral:lncRNA from 1 species
CCUGGCGCCAGCCCCUCCAGAAGCCAAAGGGCAGAAUUGCCAUGUCAGGCAACACAAAGCCCCAGGACAUUGUUUUCCAGACCAAGAACUGAUGCUUUUGGCUGCUGCAGAAGCUCCCCCAUCUCGUCUGAAGCUGCUGAAAAGCCUGUGCCAGUGCCUUGAUGUUCUCCCCCCACGAGGGAAUUAAUGGCUGGGAAGGAAUGGAGAGCACAGCACGAAGAGCAGGCAUGGUC